ACAAUGAAGAGUUUGAUCCUGGCUCAGGAUGAACGCUAGCUACAGGCUUAACACAUGCAAGUCGAGGGGCAUCAGGAAGAAAGCUUGCUUUCUUUGCUGGCGACCGGCGCACGGGUGAGUAACACGUAUCCAACCUGCCCUUUACUCGGGGAUAGCCUUUCGAAAGAAAGAUUAAUACCCGAUAGCAUAAUGAUUCCGCAUGGUUUCAUUAUUAAAGGAUUCCGGUAAAGGAUGGGGAUGCGUUCCAUUAGGUUGUUGGUGAGGUAACGGCUCACCAAGCCUUCGAUGGAUAGGGGUUCUGAGAGGAAGGUCCCCCACAUUGGAACUGAGACACGGUCCAAACUCCUACGGGAGGCAGCAGUGAGGAAUAUUGGUCAAUGGGCGUUAGCCUGAACCAGCCAAGUAGCGUGAAGGAUGAAGGCUCUAUGGGUCGUAAACUUCUUUUAUAUAAGAAUAAAGUGCAGUAUGUAUACUGUUUUGUAUGUAUUAUAUGAAUAAGGAUCGGCUAACUCCGUGCCAGCAGCCGCGGUAAUACGGAGGAUCCGAGCGUUAUCCGGAUUUAUUGGGUUUAAAGGGAGCGUAGGUGGACUGGUAAGUCAGUUGUGAAAGUUUGCGGCUCAACCGUAAAAUUGCAGUUGAUACUGUCAGUCUUGAGUACAGUAGAGGUGGGCGGAAUUCGUGGUGUAGCGGUGAAAUGCUUAGAUAUCACGAAGAACUCCGAUUGCGAAGGCAGCUCACUGGACUGCAACUGACACUGAUGCUCGAAAGUGUGGGUAUCAAACAGGAUUAGAUACCCUGGUAGUCCACACAGUAAACGAUGAAUACUCGCUGUUUGCGAUAUACAGUAAGCGGCCAAGCGAAAGCAUUAAGUAUUCCACCUGGGGAGUACGCCGGCAACGGUGAAACUCAAAGGAAUUGACGGGGGCCCGCACAAGCGGAGGAACAUGUGGUUUAAUUCGAUGAUACGCGAGGAACCUUACCCGGGCUUAAAUUGCAGUGGAAUGAUGUGGAAACAUGUCAGUGAGCAAUCACCGCUGUGAAGGUGCUGCAUGGUUGUCGUCAGCUCGUGCCGUGAGGUGUCGGCUUAAGUGCCAUAACGAGCGCAACCCUUAUCUUUAGUUACUAACAGGU
rnacentral:rRNA from 1 species